GUAAGCCAAGAUCAUACCACUGCACUAUAGCCUUGGUGAUGGAGACUCUGUCUCAAAACAAAACAAAAAAAAGGUUUGUGCUUUCUUUACAUAAGAGUACAUCUUCUGACUAUAAAAAUCCUGGAAAAAACCUAGGAAAUACUCUUCUGGAUAUCAUAUUUGUCAAUUAAUUUAUGGCUAAGUCCUCAAAAGCAAUUGCAAGAAUAACAAAAAUUGACAAGUGUGAUCUAAUUUAGCUAAAUAGCUUCUGCACAGCAUGAGAAACUAUCACGAGAUUAAACAGAAAGCCUAAAAGAAUGGAAGAAAAUAUUCACAAAGUAUGGAUAUAGCAAACGCCUAUUAUCCAGAAUCCAUAAGAGACCUAAACAAAUCAACAAGCAAAAAAUAAAUAAGACCAUUAUAAAUGGGCAAAGGACAUGAACAGACAGUUCUCAAAAUAACACACCUGUUGCUGUAUUGGACACUUGCUCCCAUCUACUUUCUUCUCUAGAAUCCACGGAAGAUGUUCUAAGCUCAGCUUGUAUUUUCUCUGCGCCAGCUCUGGAAUGAGUCAUUUUUUUUAGAAGCAGAGGUGGAGCCACUGAGGAAGCACAGGUGAGCCCUCCCCAGUGUGUACUCACUGGUCCCCAACAGAAGAACCACUGCCACAUCCACUGAAGUACCAAGAAACUAGCAAAGGGCCUUCUGGCUGUCUGGGGAGAGUCCUCAUGUGGUCCCUGGCUGUCUCAGAGGUUCUGGAUUAGUCUUCCUGUAGCCUCUGUGUUCUGUCUUUAGAUCGGGGCUCUGUGGGAAGGGCCCUGAGAGACCCAACAGCACAGCGUGCCUUAUCUACCAAAUGUCCCUCCCUUCCUCACACCCUGACACUCAGGAAUAGGGUAGAUGGUGUGUCCAGGCAGUGUCAGGCCACCUCACUUUCUCCUUUGAGACGGGCCCAGAGGGCCUUUGGGGUGAGUGUGGAGCUGGGAACCUGGAGCCUGAGGCCAACUGUCUCUCCCUGUGUCUUGGAGGAAAGGCCACGUCCCAAAAAAAAACCCCAGGGCCUGACUUCUGGGCACACAUGCAGGGAGGGAGGGUCUAUGAGCUGAGGGGGACAUUGUAAUGAGACUUUGAACCCCGUUGCUCCGGGGCCUGGUCAGUGGACCAUGGUCAGAGAUGACCUGGUCAUCAGGACCUGGUCAUUUGGGACCUGAUCAGCAGGGGCCUGGUUAGUGGCGGCCUCCUCAGUAAAGGCCUCAUCAGUGGGGACCUGGUGACCUAGUCACUGGAAGCCUGGUCAGUGGGGGGACCUAGUCAGUGGUGGCUUUAUUAGUGGGGCCUGAUCUGUUGGAACAUAAACAAUGAAAAACUGGUUGGUGGGGCAUACACAAUAUAUCACGGGCCUGGUCAGUGUGGGGCCUUAGUGGCUUGGAGCCUGGUCAGUGAGGGCCUGGUCAGAGGGGGCUCAGUCAGCUGGGUACUCGUUCAUGGAGAAUUGUUCAGUGGGGGGUCGGUUGAGCAGCAACCUGGUAAAUUGUGGUCUUGUCAGUGGGAACCCUGUCUUGUCAAUGGGGACCAGGUCAGUGGAAAAUUGGUCAGUGGGGUCUGGCCCAUGAGGCCUAUUAAGUGUGGGCCUGGUUAGGAAGACAUGGUCAGUGGGGACUUGAUCAGUGGGACCUGGUCAAUGGAGGAGUGGUCAUUAGGGGUCUCAUCACUCAUCACUGGGAACCUGGUCAGGGGCAGUUUGUCAGUACCUGGCCUGCUGGCCACUAUGUGACCUCAGGCAGGGGGGUUGUCUGUGGAGCCUCCUUGCCUCCAUCUGCAGGGAAAGUGAGUCGGGGCACCCUGGAGGGUGGCUGGAAAGAGAAGGUGAGAAGAUGUGUUGAAUCCAAUACUGCUUGGCAGACCUACAACUUUACAAAUGACCUGUGUUCCACCUAGAGAGGGUGCCAGCCCUCUCAGCAUUAUGCAGUGCCCCUCCUCUGUCUGCAUCCCCAGGACCACCAUGGGUGGGGAGGGCAGAGAUUGGGGAGCACCUAUAGAGGCUCUAAUGCUCUAAGGUGACAGUGAUGAGGACCUGGGUGCACCCAUGAGUGGAGAAGCUAGGCCUGUCCAGAGAAGCAAGACAAACACACACAUACACACUCACACACACACAGGCACAUAUGCAUACACAAAUACAUUGCAUACACACAUGUCAGUUCAGGGGAUAGAGGACACGGACUCUGGGCCCUGUUGACCCAAGCAGACUCCCAUGGUGGUGGGUUGUGUCACCCCAGAAUGUCACUGUUGCUGAGUCCCCAUCGCCUCUGUGUUGUGGAGCAGUUAGAGACACACAGCAGUGUCUGUGAGUAGCUCUGCGUGAAGGACCAUUUUCUAGAUGAGAGGCACAUCUCAACACAGCUCACUGAUCAGAUUCAGGUGAGUGGGACCUGCUCUUUUCUCUUCCUUCUGGCUUGGGAAAAGUCACUAUCAGGUGGAUGGUUUUGGUCUCUGGGCAGCUACUGAGGGUAAUCCCUGAACACUCACCAGCUGCCUGUUAUGUGCUGACAGUCAUCUCAUUCAUCCUCGCAGCAAUUCCAUUCUGCAUCUUUUCUGAUCACCUCCGUGACCACACAGGACAACCCCAUCAGGGCCCUGUCACCAGGCCCAGUCUAGCUCCAUGAUAACCAAGACACAGGCCCAGAGACAAUCGUCCUACAUUGUGCCUGCAUCUGACACCCCUUGGUAGGUAGUGACCAGCACAACAUGGAAGAAGCCAGGGCAGCAUGCAGCCAGCUGCUCUGCAGCCCCAAAUGGCUCCUGGGCCUUGGGAAGUCACUCAUAAAGGGGAAGCUGGUCACUUUGAGGUCCCUGAAGGGAAGGGUGAACGUGCAUCCCAACAGCCCUGGCAGCCAGCAGCAUGCCAUACAUAUUCUCACCCAACGUGUGUGACAGAGGUCCCCUCCUGGGGCACAAGUCCCAUACCUAAAGCAUCCUGUCCCAGUCGGACCUCAUCCUGAGCCCUGGGAGGGGAGGGGGACCAUGGGCCCCCCUGCAGCAGCCAGGAUUACCACCCAGGGGACUCGGCCUUCUGUGGCCCUGGCCAGACUUAGAAUUUGGCCCAAGACAAACUUACUCGGAGCAGCUUCUCAGUACCUGGGGCCUGUGCAUACCAGGCAAGGCCAAGCUGGCUCAAAGAGCAACCAGCCACCUCUGCAAGGGUAUGCCAGUAGCAGGUGGAGCAGUCACCAACCUCACGCACUCAAGGAAACAGGGAUGGCCAGUUUCCCACAGUCUGAGUGACCACCACCUGACAGCUGAUGGAGUGGAGGCCUGAGGAAAAGCAGAUGGCACUGGGGCUCCACCUCCAGGGCAGAAUAACUGAUUUACCCUGACUGGCAGGGAGUGACGUUGGUGGCUGGUCCACUGGCUCCUGGCACACCCUUGCAGAGGUGGGUGGUUGCUCUUUGAGCCAGCUUGGCUUUGCCUGGCAUGCACAGGUCUCAGUGCAACAAAUGUGCUGCAAAUGGAGCCACAUAGAGGAAAUGAGCAGCAGGCUCAGAACUGGGGUGUGUGCCGCCUUUGGGGCUCCAGUCCAAGCAUCGGGGCUUCUACAGCACUGUGGGCUUCUCGGGUGCCAAGAGGCAGACCACAGGCCAUCUUGAGGAGGACUCUGGUAAGAGCUUCCUUGUGUACGUGGAUGAUGUCCAGAAUGUUGACCUGGUGUCCCUGAGACAGCACUAACAGGUCCAUGACUGGGUCCAGAUCCUGCCUGGGCUGAUGGGCAAAGAGCUCACUGACAGUGUGGAAGGCAUCUAUGGUGAAGUGGAUCUAUGUUCAAGUGCAGAAAGGGCCCAAUCUUGCAGAUGAACCACACAGCCAGCUUCUGGAUGCAGGUGCAGUGCCACAUUUUUUGUCACUU
rnacentral:lncRNA from 10 species